rnacentral:rRNA from 1 species
UACGAAGGGGGCUAGCGUUGCUCGGAAUCACUGGGCGUAAAGCGCACGUAGGCGGAUUGCUAAGUCAGGGGUGAAAUCCUGGAGCUCAACUCCAGAACUGCCUUUGAUACUGAGAAGCUUGAGUCCGGGAGAGGUGAGUGGAACUGCGAGUGUAGAGGUGAAAUUCGUAGAUAUUCGCAAGAACACCAGUGGCGAAGGCGGCUCACUGGCCCGAUACUGACGCUGAGGCGCG